rnacentral:rRNA from 1 species
AGAGACAGCAGUAGCCACGGUAAUACGUAGGUCCCGAGCGUUGUCCGGAUUUAUUGGGCGUAAAGCGAGCGCAGGCGGUUAGAUAAGUCUGAAGUUAAAGGCUGUGGCUUAACCAUAGUAUGCUUUGGAAACUGUUUAACUUGAGUGCAGAAGGGGAGAGUGGAAUUCCAUGUGUAGCGGUGAAAUGCGUAGAUAUAUGGAGGAACACCGGUGGCGAAAGCGGCUCUCUGGUCUGUAACUGACGCUGAGGCUCGAAAGCGUGGGGAGCAAACAGGAUUAGAUACCCCCGUAGUCCCUGUCUCUUAUACA